GUCAAUAGUAACUAUUUUGCAAUUGCUUUUGUUAAAUGCAUAGGAAGACAGUGAGUGAUAGUGAUUUAUUUGUUCUACAUUACUUGUGUAAUAUAAUUGGAUGGACAUGGACUUCAUUUGGUAGAUUAUCUCAACUACAUAAUGGAAUGCCUACUUUUAUACAAGAUGCAAUAAUAUUUAGUUAGCAUAUUUGCACGACAACGUGAAUGUAAAUCUUAGACAUGGUAAGAAACUAAGCAUUAUAUUGGAAUUGUAAUGCCAUGUUCAAAUAAUUGUGUUGAAGUUAGCAUAGCCCAUGGAUUGCACUUAAAAUUAUCUACCUUUGCUUAGA
rnacentral:misc_RNA from 1 species